rnacentral:misc_RNA from 1 species
CAACCCCUCAAGCCCUGCUUGGUGUUGGGGCCCUACGUGCGCCGUAGGCCCCGAAUUCCAGUGGCGGGCUCGCCGCGAACCCGAGCGUAGUAGCUUUUGCCUCGCUCAGGGCCCGCGGCGGGCGCCUGCCGUGAAAGAACCCACUAUUCUUCAGG